UACGUAGGGGGCAAGCGUUGUCCGGAUUUAUUGGGCGUAAAGCGCUCGCAGGCGGUCCGAUGCGUCGUGCGUGAAAGACCCCGGCUCAACUGGGGAGGGUCACUCGAUACUGAUCGACUCGAAGGCAGAAGAGGGAAGCGGAAUUCCCGGUGUAGUGGUGAAAUGCGUAGAUAUCGGGAGGAACACCAGUGGCGAAGGCGGCUUUCUGGUCUGCUCUUGACGCUGAGGCGCGAAAGCUAGGGUAGCAAACGGG
rnacentral:rRNA from 1 species